AUCCAGCUGACGAGUCCAAAAUAGGACGAAACGCGCGUUCUGGAU
rfam:Schistosoma rodhaini strain Burundi genome assembly, scaffold: SROB_scaffold0006276